GACUCAGUGGUGUAACGGUUGCACGCCUUCUUUUCAAUAUGCUGAAGAUCUCUUCUAGAGGAAGCCCUGGUUCGAAUCCGGGCUGAGCCA